AUUGAACGCUAGCGGGAUGCUUUACACAUGCAAGUCGAACGGCAGCGCGGACUUCGGUCUGGCGGCGAGUGGCGAACGGGUGAGUAAUGUAUCGGAACGUGCCCAGUAGCGGGGGAUAACUACGCGAAAGCGUAGCUAAUACCGCAUACGCCCUACGGGGGAAAGCAGGGGAUCGUAAGACCUUGCACUAUUGGAGCGGCCGAUAUCGGAUUAGCUAGUUGGUGAGGUAACGGCUCACCGAGGCGACGAUCCGUAGCUGGUUUGAGAGGACGACCAGCCACACUGGGACUGAGACACGGCCCAGACUCCUACGGGAGGCAGCAGUGGGGAAUUUUGGACAAUGGGGGCAACCCUGAUCCAGCCAUCCCGCGUGUGCGAUGAAGGCCUUCGGGUUGUAAAGCACUUUUGGCAGGAAAGAAACGUCGCGGGCUAAUACCCCGUGGAACUGACGGUACCUGCAGAAUAAGCACCGGCUAACUACGUG
rnacentral:rRNA from 1 species